UGGGGAAUAUUGCACAAUGGGCGCAAGCCUGAUGCAGCCAUGCCGCGUGUAUGAAGAAGGCCUUCGGGUUGUAAAGUACUUUCAGCGGGGAGGAAGGGAGUAAAGUUAAUACCUUUACUCAUUGACGUUACCCGCAGAAGAAGCGCCGGCUAACUCCGUGCCAGCAGCCGCGGUAAUACGGAGGGUGCAAGCGUUAAUCGGAAUUACUGGGCGUAAAGCGCACGCAGGCGGUUUGUUAAGUCAGAUGUGAAAUCCCCGGGCUCAACCUGGGAACUGCGUCUGAUACUGGCAAGCUUGAGUCUCGUAGAGGGGGGUAGAAUUCCAGGUGUAGCGGUGAAAUGCGUAGAGAUCUGGAGGAAUACCGGUGGCGAAGGCGGCCCCCUGGGCGAAGACUGACGCUCAGGUGCGAAAGCGUGGGGAGCAAACAG
rnacentral:rRNA from 1 species